GAUGAACGCUGACAGAAUGCUUAACACAUGCAAGUCGAUGGGGAAGUGGUGCUUGCACCAUGGCAACCAUGGCGGACGGGUGAGUAACGCGUAAGGGACUUACCUGCAGGACUGGGAUAACAGGGGGAAACUCCUGACAAGACCGGAUAAUGUCAUGGAGCUGCAUGGCUUUAUGAUGAAAGGAGACGCCUGCGGAGAGCCUUGCGUCCUAUUAGCUAGUUGGUGAGGUAAUGGCUCACCAAGGCGAAGAUAGGUAGCCGGCCUGAGAGGGUGGACGGCCACAAGGGGACUGAGAUACGGCCCUUACUCCUACGGGAGGCAGCAGUGGGGAAUAUUGGACUAUGGGGGCAACCCUGAUCCAGCAAUUCUGUGUGCACGAAGAAGGUUUUCGGAUUGUAAAGUGCUUUCAGCAGGGAAGAAGUAAGUGACGGUACCUGCAGAAGAAGCGACGGCUAAAUACGUG
rnacentral:rRNA from 1 species